rnacentral:lncRNA from 1 species
AAGUGUUCUUAAUCCAGUGCUAUGCUUGGUGGAGUCUAGAAGGGAAUUCUCUUUUAUUGCACCCACUUUGUGCCAAGCACUGUGUUCAGCCCUUCCACAUACAGUAUUACUUAAUCCUCACAUAAUCUCACAAAUAAUGAAUUAUUUUCACUCUACAGAAAGGAAACAGAGGCUCAGAGAAGCUAAGACAUUUGCACAGGACCACAGCUGGUAAGUGGCAGAGGAAGGGGUGAUUUCUUUGCCUCCAUGACCACAGGCUGCAGGAGCAGGCGGAGGGAAAGGGGAUUUUCAUCUGCUUUGGAGAAAAUAAUCUUUUUGUGGGGGACCAACUGCUUCAGAAGUGAAAAUGGGCUGUUCACAGGCUUCAUUCCACAGGGCUGAGAAGAAAAAUUGAAUACUGAUGAGAAAGAAGAUGGAUAGAAGAGAGAGACAUGCAACUGGGACUCUAACAGAAAUGCCAUUCUCCCUGGGAAGGGACUAGCCCAGUCAGCAGCCACCUCACUCCAUGAGUUGGUUCUGAGGCACCCUCUGUGCCAGGCAGCUCG